rnacentral:misc_RNA from 1 species
AUCGAUGGGGCGCACAAUAAUCAAGUUUGGAGGACAGCCUGGGGCUGACGCAAAGGAGCGCUCUCCUACCAGAUGCGUGGAGGAACCCGUAAGCACAGAGAGUGCUUUGAGCAGCGUCACUGGUGAGGGUGCAUGCAUAGUUGACAGUACGCUGUUGCGGAAGUAUUUGGCCCGGAAUUAUCUAAACGCCAACGCAGAAGGGGAAAGUACCCUAGGCGUGCUCGUCGCUGAAGCCGCUAGUGAGUCUCCAGAUCUCAACAGUAAGAGUAUUAUCUACGAGGACUGGAAUUCGUGACAUACUGUUUUUAUAGUUACCCCUCGGCGCUGAUUGCAAGAAAAGUGAUAGAUGCAAGCUGAUGCAUGUCUCCUCGCACAAUAGAGAUGAAUGUGUAUGGACGCUCGUUGACAAAAGCAGCAGCGACAGUAGGGCCUUGCAGCAGUCCUUUAUGGCGAGAGUACGCGCUCGGCUGAACUCGUGUGCUUUUAUGACUGUGCAACACCGUCGAAUCCCACUUUCUACCAUAUCGUAUUUUGAUUCUGUUCCCACACGCCUAAAACUUCAAAUUGCAAAG